CGUGCGUGCGUGCAUGCGUGUGUGUGUGUGUGUGUGUGUGUGUGUGCUGCAGUU
rnacentral:miRNA from 1 species